GUUUGUAGUCAACCCACACUAGCGCAAUAGAGGAGACACCACGACGAGGGGAUUCCAAGUGCUCAUGGGCAAAAGCCUUGUUUUCUUGCCUAAAAAGCAGGGAGAAAAGGGCUGGUUAAGACGGGGGCCAGCCGCCGCGGUAAUACCCGCAGCCCGAGGGGGGAUCGUUUUUAUUGGGCCUAAAGCGUCCGAAGCCGGCUCAUUAAAUCCUUGGGAAAAUGGGGAGCUUUAACUGUCCAAAUUCGGGGGGGAACUGCUGACCUUGGGACUGGAAAAGUUUGUAGGUAUUCCGGGGGUGGAGGUGAAAUUCUGUAAUCCCCGGGGGACCCCCGGGGGGGAAGGGGGCCGAUUUGAAGCGGGCCCAAGGUAAGGAACAAACCCUUGGGGCACAAACCGGAUUAGUUCCCCGGGUGGUUCGGGGGGAGGAGCCUCCGGCUUCGCAGUGGGAGGAUCUACAAGGGCGCCCAGUGCCGGGGGGAAGUUGUUAAGCCCGCCGCUUGGGGGGUACGGCCCAAGACUGAACUUUAAGGGAAUUGGGGGGGGAGUUCUCCAACAGAAGAAGCGGGCGGUUUAUAUGUUUUUAACGCGGAAAAAAUCCCGGGGGGCAGAUUUUUAUAUAAGACAAGGUGGAUGACCUUCCUCGAUUUUCAAAAGGGGGGGAUUGGUCGCGGUAAUACAAAACGAAAGCGUUCUGUUAUUUCUAUACCAACCAAAUCCCCCCUUUAUUUGCACCCCCUUGCCCCCGGGGGUCUUUUGGGGGCGCUGGGGUUAUUCAAAAAAAGUGGGGCAACCGCCGCUCUUUUGGCCAGAAUCACCCGGGGAAUCCCCGCCUAAAAAGAAAGGAGAAAAAGCCCCCCCCCCCACAGGGGGGGGAUUCCCAAACCCCUUCAUAGUCCGGAUUGGAGGUUUUACCCCCCCUCCUAAGGUGGAAAUCGGUAGUAUUUUUGGGUAAAAUUAAGGGGGGGAAAAGCCGGCCCCUUUGAAAAAACCAAAGGGGGAAUUCUCGGCUGAUUAAUCCAUUUGCCCUUUUUUGGGGGCAUUUACAUUUCCGGGGGGGUUUUUUUUUUUCUUCGGUUGGGUUCGGCUCUUCUAAAUGUACGUAGCGGAUACUCGCG
rnacentral:rRNA from 1 species